UUUCCUACGGGGCGCAGCAGCGGGGAAUAUUGCACAAUGGGGGAAACCCUGAUGCAGCGACGCCGCGUGAGUGAAGAAGUAUUUCGGUAUGUAAAGCUCUAUCAGCAGGGAAGAAAAUGACGGUACCUGACUAAGAAGCCCCGGCUAACUACGUGCCAGCAGCCGCGGUAAUACGUAUGGUGCAAGCGUUAUCCGGAUUUACUGGGUGUAAAGGGAGCGCAGGCGGCACGGCAAGCCUGAUGUGAAAGCCCGCGGCCCAACCGCGGGACUGCACUGGGAACUACCGGGCU
rnacentral:rRNA from 1 species